GUGACAGGCGAUGUGGUCAGCGUGUCUGACUCUCACUCGGGAGUCUGGGGUUCAAUCCCCCACCUGGGCCC